CCAUGAGGUUUCAAAGAGUUGGAUAUGACCGAGAGACUUUCACUAUUCAUAUAACCUUGAAACCAUCACCACCAUUAAGGCCGUGAACAUAGUCAUCACCUCCUAAAGUUUCCUCCUGCCUCUAUUAUUAUUAUUUGUGGUGGAGUUAUUGCCACUUCCUAUAGAGAUUGGAACAUAAAGAGGUUGUUUGCUCAAACUCUGAAGACUUUGGGAGCCCAGACUAAGUUUGCUCCUGCUGCUUUGAACACACUUUGGCAGCAGGCUUCACUGAGGCACAAAGGAGUCAAGUGUCUUGACCAGGCCGCAUGGAGAGGUGGUAGCGCAGUCCACCUUGGCAUCUGGGACCAUUAUGACAUUCCAUUAUCUGCUGUCAACACCGGGGCUUCCUGCCUUAGGAAUGCAGCUGCAGCCUUUCGCUGAAAAAUUCGCCUCCUUUCACAUAGAAGGCAUAAUUAAGAACACAGCUGCAAAUUGGCUCUUCUCAACAAUUUUCCCUGCUGUCCCAUAAAAUGUGAAAAAUAUGGGCCGGUACAUUGAUUAGACAGACUCUUGGGGCUGAAUUGUGUGUAAUCUAUCCACUUCUGGCACUUUGAAAUAAGUUUUUUUGCUCUUCCAUUGGAAAUUAAAGGAAAAAACAGAAAAUACCAGUAGCCUGGGUGUUUCUUGGUUGGGCACUUCACGGACACAGUGAGAGGAUGUAAUCAGCUCACAUCCUCAUUUGAGUUUGUAACACACACAAAUACACACACACAUACACUUUGUCUUGAUGAUGACACAGUAUAAGUUUCUUGGCAAAUAUUGAUCUAUUUAUUUCCUCUGUGAAUUUUUUGACUGAAGAAACUUUGAAGCAGCUUGUCACUUUCUUUUUUUUUGCUCUGCCACCUCUGUCUGAUGAGGGAGAAGAAAUCUAGGUUGGGUGUAUUGUACUCUCCAGGGGUCUAUUAGUGUUAUUUUAGUGGUAUUGUAUUAAGGACUGGACUUACUGUGUGCACUGGAAUCAGGUUCAAUUUCCAGACCCACCCUUUAAGCCCUGAGACCUUCAUCAAUUAG